GCUGGCCCCGCAACGACCAAUAGGUGGGCACCGAGAGGCUAGUCGGCCGCGAAUCCCGACCAAUGGAAGCGGCCGCAGCGCUAACCCACGUGGCAGCGUGGCCUGCCCUUAGCCCCACCCCCGUCGCUCAGGGGCCCAACGGGAACGCAGCAAGGGCGGGACUGGCGCCGCUCCGGGCCCUCCUCCGCGCCCCCGCCCGCGCCUGCAGCCAUUCAUAAGGCUGGGAGCUCGUAACAAAGGGCGGGCGGGCCCUGAGGGGUCUAGGACCCCGCUCCAAGACUGGCCUCCACUUUCAGGGACCGCCAGGGGAGCGGCUUGAGUAUGAGGAGGGGGCGCGGGUCAUUGUUCCCGGCGCCAAGAGGAACAGGAAGUCGUGGGGCCUCCCCACUGUGUCCGUCUGGGAAGCAACCUUCAGCGGAAGCUGGAGCGUGAACCCUGCGCCUCGUGGCCGAGGUCCCCGGCCGCGCGGUGCCGAGGGACGGGCCAGCCGGUGGCCUGUCCCCGCCCCCGUGGGUGGGUAGGUGUGGAGGCCUGGGCGGGGCGUGAGGCCCCGGGCAGGGCGCUGCACCUAGGUGACGUGGCCAAGGCCGGUCGCGCCCCUCCCGAGCCGGUGCCACCGCGCAUCCCUGCCCGCCCAGGUCUCCCGGGCCGAGCCCGUUUCCCGAGACGCGCUCGCUCGAGCCGUGACGUGACGCGGCGUCCCCGCUGCGUCCGCGCACUCCGCUCCGGGCAGCGGGCAGGUGGUACUGGGCUGGGGAGUGCCCUGCCACCUGGACGCUGUGACCUCAGCUGACCAGGAAUGGAUCCCUAACUGUGGUGAGUACAGUAACUCUGGGAGGGGGAGGUGGCCCCCGGAGAUGAGAUGCUUGCUAUCUAAAUAAAAGGUCUCUGGCA